rnacentral:rRNA from 1 species
GAUGAACGCUGGCGGCGUGCCUAAUACAUGCAAGUCGAGCGAACAGACGAGGAGCUUGCUCCUCUGACGUUAGCGGCGGACGGGUGAGUAACACGUGGAUAACCUACCUAUAAGACUGGGAUAACUUCGGGAAACCGGAGCUAAUACCGGAUAAUAUAUUGAACCGCAUGGUUCAAUAGUGAAAGACGGUUUUGCUGUCACUUAUACAUGGAUCCGCGCCGCAUUAGCUAGUUGGUAAGGUAACGGCUUACCAAGGCAACGAUGCGUAGCCGACCUGAGAGGGUGAUCGGCCACACUGGAACUGAGACACGGUCAAGACUCCUACGGGAGGCAGCAGUAGGGAAUCUUCCGCAAUGGGCGAAAGCCUGACGGAGCAACGCCGCGUGAGUGAUGAAGGUCUUCGGAUCGUAAAACUCUGUUAUUGGGGAAGAACAAAUGUAUAAGUAACUAUGCACGUCUUGACGGUACCUAAUCAGAAAGCCACGGCUAACUACGUG